UACGGGGGGGGGCAAGCGUUGUUCGGAAUUACUGGGCGUAAAGGGCUCGUAGGUGGCCAACUAAGUCAGACGUGAAAUCCCUCAGCUUAACUGGGGAACUGCGUCUGAUACUGGAUGGCUUGAGUUUGGGAGAGGGAUGCGGAAUUCCAGGUGUAGCGGUGAAAUGCGUAGAUAUCGGAAGGAACACCAGUGGCGAAAGCGGCUUCCUGGUCCAGCACCGACGUUCAGGCACGAAAGCGUGGGGAGCAAACAGG
rnacentral:rRNA from 1 species